CCUACGGGAGGCAGCAGUGAGGAAUAUUGGUCAAUGGGCGGAAGCCUGAACCAGCCAAGUCGCGUGAGGGAAGACGGCCCUAUGGAUUGUAAACUUCUUUUAUAUGGGAAUAAAGUGCAGUAUGUGUACUGCUUUGCAUGUACCUGGUGAAUUAGGCUCGGCUAACUCCGUGCCAGCAGCCGCGGUAAUAAGGAGGGUCCGGGCGUUAUCCGGAUUUAUUGGGGUUAAAGGGAGCGUAGGACGGUUGUUAAGUGUGUUGUGAAAGUUUCGGGCUCAACCGGGGACUUGCAGUUGAGACUGGCGUGCGUGAGUAGAGGAGAGGGAGGCGGAAUGCGUGGUGUAGCGGUGAAAUGCUUAGAUAUCACGAAGAACUCCGAUUGCGAAGGCAGCUUGCUGGACCGCAACUGACGCUGAUGCACGAAAGCGUGGGGAUCGAACAGGAUUAGAUACCCGGGUAGUC
rnacentral:rRNA from 1 species